UACGGAGGGUGCAAGCGUUGUCCGGAAUCACUGGGCGUAAAGGGCGCGUAGGCGGCCUGGUAAGUAGGGGGUGAAAUCCUGCGGCUUAACCGCAGGGCUGCCUUCUAAACUGUCAGGCUUGAGCACGGUAGAGGCAGAUGGAAUUCCCGGUGUAGCGGUGGAAUGCGUAGAGAUCGGGAAGAACGCCGGUGGCGAAAGCGCUCUGCUGGACCACAACUGACACUCACAGGACGAAAGCUAGGGGAGCGAAUGGG
rnacentral:rRNA from 1 species